GACGAACGCUGGCGGCGUGCUUAACACAUGCAAGUCGAACGGGUCUGCCCUGUUUUUUGCGGGGUGGGUCAGUGGCGAACGGGUGAGUAACACGUGAGUAACCUGCCCCUCACUUCUGGAUAACCGCUUGAAAGGGUGGCUAAUACGGGGUGUUCUGGCUGUGCCGCAUGGUGUGGCUGGGAAAGAUUCACUUUUGUGGUGUUUUGGUGGGGGAUGGGCUCGCGGCCUAUCAGCUUGUUGGUGGGGUGAUGGCCUGCCAGGGCUUUGACGGGUAGCCGGCCUGGGAGGGUGGGCGGUCAGACUGGGACUGAGACACGGCCGAGACUCAUGCGGGAGGCAGCAGUGGGGGGUAUUGCACAAUGGGCGGAAGCCUGAUGCAGCGACGUGGCGUGAGGGAUGGAGGCCUUCGGGUUGUGAACCUCUUUCGCCGGUGAAGAAGGUCCUGCUCUUUGUGGUGGGGUUGACGGUAGCCGGGUUAUGAAGCGCCGGCUAACUACGUG
rnacentral:rRNA from 1 species